UUGCUUAUCCUUUUGGUUCUGCUGGUCUUACUGGUUGUCAAAGCUCUGAUCUUGGUCACCAAAACUGCUCUCCGUCUAAACUCGAUUAUCGAUCAUCAACACACAAACAAUCGGAGACAACAUACAUGAAGCAAACAAUGCUAUAAUUAGAACAGGACACCAAUCAUAUAAAAACAAAAUGAAAAUUUUAUAAAAUAAUUUUACGCGUCGCUACGAUC
rnacentral:lncRNA from 1 species